GAUGAACGCUAGCGGCAGGCUUAACACAUGCAAGUCGAGGGGUAUAGGAAGCUUGCUUCCUAGAGACCGGCGCACGGGUGCGUAACGCGUAUGCAAUCUACCUUUUACAGAGGGAUAGCCCAGAGAAAUUUGGAUUAAUACCUCAUAGUAUUUUCAAAUGGCAUCAUUUGAUUAUUAAAGUACCAACGGUAAAAGAUGAGCAUGCGUCCUAUUAGCUAGAUGGUAAGGUAACGGCUUACCAUGGCAACGAUAGGUAGGGGUCCUGAGAGGGAGAUCCCCCCCACUGGUACGGGGCCACGGACCAGACUCCUACGGGAGGCAGCAGUGAGGAAUAUUGGACAAUGGGCGCAAGCCUGAUCCAGCCAUGCCGCGUGCAGGAAGAAGCAUCUAUGGUGUGUAAACUGCUUUUGUACGGGAAGAAACACUCCUACGUGUAGGAGCUUGACGGUACCGUAAGAAUAAGGAUCGGCUAACUCCGUGCCAGCCGCCGCAGUAAGAC
rnacentral:rRNA from 1 species